AGACUCCACAUAGCUUGCAUCACUGCUCACGUCUCCGUGUAACUCACAAUAAAGAGACUUUGGCAUCAAGUGUGAGCUUAGGGGUAGAAGAAGGGUAUAUGUUAGGAGGUGGGAGCGGAAUCAAUUCUUCAAAGCUUAAGGAUGGUGAAGAAGAGUGCUUACCAGAUUCCUUUCUGGUCUGGAAAAGGAAAUUCCUUCUUUUGUGGAUGUCAUCUUUACCCUCUCUCGGUAAAAAAUUUUUCAAGUGACUCCUAAGAUGGAGAGAGCAUUGGAAGUCAUCUGGCCCAUUUCCCUCAUGCAACUCAAAGCUUCUUUGUAAGAAAAAUACUCCCAGAAGUUUGUUUGCAUUAUGAAGAUCAGGUCUUGAGAGAUCCAGUCUGGCUCUUCCCUGUACAAAACAUUUCUCACAAACAGAAUAUGGACAAUUGCUAAAUGUCAAAGGGCCUGAAGGAGCUUUUUUACCCUGCCACCAUGUGAGGACACAGUGAGAAGGCACCAUCUAUGAACCAGAAAGCAGAUGCCCUAACUAGACACUGAAUAUGCUGG